AUGUCGAGGACGAAGAUGGCGGCGAACAAUCCGAUGCGCAAGUACUCGUGGUGGUGGGACAGCCAUAUCAGUCCCAAGAACUCGAAAUGGCUCCAAGAAAACCUCUCAGAUACGGAUAGCAAAAUCAAAGUUAUGAUCAAGAUCAUUGAUGAGGACGCCGACUCGUUUGCAAAAAGAGCAGAAAUGUACUACAAAAGGCGCCCAGAGCUGAUGUCCCUGCUUGAGGAGUUAUACCGUGCUUACCGAGCUUUAGCUGAAAGACAUGACCAUGCAGCUGGGGAACUCCGAUCGGCUCAUCGGAAAAUGGCAGAAGCAUUUCCCGAUGAAUACCAGUUAGAUUUGGAUGAUGACCUGCCAUCUGAAACUGCAUCCUCAGAAACUGACUCUGACAGCCGUGACAUGACACCCUUUUUCCGCUCUUUCAUCAACACUGGCGACUCGAAAAAACGUAGUAAAGAUGAUCAGGACCAUGAGAAGUUACAGAAAGAAAUUUCAAGCUUGUCACAGGAAAAUCAAGACCUUAAGAACAAGAUUUCAUCUGUGUUAGAAAAGAGUGAAAGUGCUGAAUCUGAAGUUCGAUCCCUCAAGGAGGCCCUUGCACAACAAGGAUCAGAGAAAGAAGCCGCAGUUUCACAGUGCCAGCAAUCCAGUGAUAGGUUGCAGAACCUCAAGUCUGAAAUAUUACAUACCCAGGAGGAAUUCAAGAGGCUAAAAGAGGAGAUGCAAAAUGGUCUGCAGAAUUUGUGCACUGCAGAGGAACAGUGCCUUCUGCUUGAGAGGGCUAACCAGGAUUUGCAUGUGGAGCUAGAUAAGCUGAAGUAUGCUUCAAAAGAGAAGCAUGAAGAGCUUAAUGAGAAACACAUUGAGCUGGAAAAGCUCAGCAUCUCUAUACAAGAGGAGCAGCUCAAGAGCAUGCAAGCGGAAAUGGCACGGCUGUCUUUAGAGAAGCAAUUGGCACAAGUACAGGAGAAGCUGCGGCUUUUGUCUCUCGAAAAGCACGGUGAAACAAGUAAGUUUAAGGAUGUUGAAGCAAGCAAGCUUAUGCUUCAGAAAGAAUUGGAGAUGAUUCGAGAAGAGAACCGUAAACUGGAUGAUCAAAACCACUCCUCGACAUCCGUGAUAAUUCGUCUGCAGGAUGAGAUAAUUUCCUUGAAGAAUGCACAACGGAAACUCGAGGAGGAGGUGUCUCGGCAUGUGGAGGAAAAGAAGGUACUUCAAAAUGAGCUUUCACACAUAAAGAAUGACAGAGGUGAUGUUGAGAGGAAGCAUUUCUCAAUCAAGGAGCAAAUACAAGUGGUUAAUUUCAAUGUGGAGUCACUCCAAGCAAUUGCACAAGAGAUGAGGGAUGGAAAUGUUGAGCUAAAGGAGACUAUCAAGAAUCAUGAUGGCGUGAAAGCGUUGUAUGUUGAGAAUCUGAUGCAGCUGGAGAGAACGAUGGAGAAAAAUGCUCAUUUGGAGAGAUCUUUGUCAGCUGCUACCACCGAGGUUGCAGGAUUGAGACAGAAUAAGGCCACACUGGAAGAAUCUUGCAAACAGCUUAGCUCCAAGAUUAAUGGCUACCAGUCUGAGCGAGCCAUGUUCAUUGCGCGGAUUGAGGGAAUUUCUCAUACCAUGGAGAAGCUAUCAGAGAAGAACGUGUUUUUGGAAAAUUUAUUAUCUGAAAACUAUACUGAGCUUGAAAACCAUAGGAUGAAGCUUAAAGACUUGGAAGAGUCUGCACAGGCACUCCGCAAUCAGAAUUCUUUACUUCGAUCUGACAAGAGAACUCUUGUGCAGGAGGUGGAUAGCAUCAAUGGUGCUCUACUUGAUUUGGAAACGCAGUAUGCAGAGUUAGAAGGAAGGCAUUUGGAUCUCCAGCAGGAGAAAAACACGGUUCGUAAUGAAGCAGUCAAACUACAGGAACUGUUAAGGCUAGAGAGAGAGAAGAGCAAAGAACUCACCCACUCAGACAAGGCUCAGUUCAGUGCUAUACAGAAGCAGAUAGCCCUGCUUCUAGAAGAUGGACGGCAUAAGGAGAACCAGCUUCAAGAGGAGGAGCACAAGAUUGUUGAAGCUCAGAUCGAGAUUUUCAUCUUGCAGAAGUGCUUAGGUGACAUGGCAGAAGCAAAUUCUGAUGUCUCAGGGCAACGGCAGAAGCAACAAGAAGCACACAAAGUUCUUGAGGAGAAACUGGCAUGUUUGACACAGAACAACCAGAAGCUUACUGAAGGGAUUGGUUCUGUGAUGGAAGUACUACAGUUUGAUGAGAAAUAUGGAUCCUUGGAUCUGAUGAAGGUUGACGUGGUUGUACAGCUCAUCUUGCAUGAGAUUAAGUGCCUGCUGAACACCAUUUCUGAUGCCCAGGAUGUCAAGCAGAACCAGAUCCUUGAAAAGUCGCUUGUUGUCACCCUCCUGGAGCACUUUGGACGGGAGGUGGCGGAUCUGAGGUCAGAAAGGAGUGUUCUGAGGCAAGAGUGGCAAGCUAAGAGUGAGGAACUGGUACAACUGCAGAGUGAAAGGCAUGACCUCCUAAAGAUCAGCUGCGACUUACGCAAGGACGUGGAGGCCCGUAACCGCAAAGUGGACGAGAUGAAAGCUGAGUCAAAGUUCUUGGUUCGACAACUCUCAGAGCUGCAAGAGUCACGCCAGUCACUACAAGCUGAGAUUAUUAAGCUGAUAGAAGAGAACUCCUCACUGGCAGGAAAACUUUAUGACUCAAGGAAGAAAGAGAAGUCGUCGGAAGAUGAUUUCAGUAAUCUAAUUGGUGAAGCAAUCAGGACAGAUAUCCUUGGUGUUGUUUUCAAAAGCCUUCACGAUGAGAGGACAUCGGAACUGCAAGCUUUGCAUGAUGAUUUUGGUUGCCUCCAUGCGGCAGGCAACGAGCUUUACCAAGAAAUCAGGCUGAUGAACAAGAAGCUUGGCGAUCUGCAACUCGAGAAUAACUACCUUGAGAAGGAGCUCAGCAGAACUUUAAGCAUCUGUGAUGGCUCUAGUCCAGAGGUUGGUUCUGCAAGAAGGCGUACUAUGCGAAGAGAUACCAAGCUGUUGAAAUCUGGCAGGAAGAGCCUACAGGAGAGUGCGGUGAACGUGGAACAGCGCAAAGAAGUCGACAAUGCUGGUCUUGAAAAAUCAAAUGAAAUGUUGAGGGAGGAGCUUCACAAGCUGCAGAGUGAAAUGCAACUGCUUAAGAACAACGAGCAGCCAGUGAUUGAUGUCAGGUCUUGCGACGCAGAGAUCUCGAAAUUGCUGGCCAACAUGCAAAUUGCCACUGCCAACGCAGCUCUCUUCAAGGAGAAGGUCCUUGAGCUCAUCGUAGCAUGCGAGAGUUCUGAGAUAAGUGAAAUAGUCCAGAAGGAGGUAUUGAAAGAGGAGAUCAGUCGAAGGAACUCCUAUGUGGAUGCACUGAAGGACAAGCUAAAUGCUGUUGAGAUUGAGAACAGAAGGCUGAAGGUCGACCUGAAUGGUGACUUCACAGUGCUAGGCGCAUUGCAAACUGAAGUCAGUGCCUUGGAGAGACAAACCCUGUCACUGGCCAAGGAUUGCGUACCUUCGAACAAACUCAAAAAAGAGGAAUUUGUUUUGUCACCUCAGCUCUCAAAGAUUGCUGUGAAACCAAGCGAUGACCAAAACUCGCCGAAGCUGGUGAAAGACAUGGAGCUGCAGAGGUUGCAUGGAACCAUCAAAGCACUCCAGAAGGUGGUUACGGACACCGGAGUCGUUCUCGAGCAAGAAAGGCUUGAUUUCAGCAGCAACCUCCAGGACGCCAGGAAGCAGAUCGAAAUGCUCAAGCUCAAGGACGCCCUGGACAGCGACGCGAGCGACGCAAACUACGAGCGGAUGCUCAAGGACAUACAGCUCGACCUCGUCCAGACCCCUAGCCGUCGAGCCAUCGGCUCGCACCGCCUCAAGAAGAAGAUCACAGCCCAGCCCGACGAUAAGAUGCUCGCGCUCUGGAGCGUGGUCAGAACAAGCAGCGGCAGCGGCAGGCACGACGAUCUGCGGCCGCCACAGAGCGAGGCGGCGUCCGAGAAGGACAAGGGUCGACACUCCACCUCCGAGCUGAUGCUGGUGAAGGACCUGGUGGUCGACAAGCAGGACCUGCCGAGGCCCGUGGUGACCACCACGGAGCCGCACCGCGAGUGGAAGAAGAAGGUGAUCGAGCGGCUGUCCUCGGACGCGCAGCGGCUCAGGGACCUCCAGUCCAUCCUCCAGGAGCUGAGGGCGAGCGUGGAGGCGUCGGGGGAGAGCGAGCUGGAGAGCGUGCGGGCGCAGAUGAUCGAGUCCGAGGAGGCCAUCACGCAGCUCAUCGACACCAACGGCAAGCUGCUGACCAAGGCCGAGGAGUUCACCUCCGCCGACGGGCUCGACGGCGGGGGCGUGGACCUCCGGAGCCGGAGCCAGCGCAAGAUCCUGGAGCGGGUGAGGAAGAUGUCCGAGAAGGUGGGCCGGCUGGAGAUGGAGAUGCAGAAGUUCCAGCAGGUCCUGCUCAAGCACGAGGAGGAGCGCGCCAGCCGGCGCGCCGCCAAGACGGUGCAGCGCCGGUCGAGGGUGCAGCUGGUGGAGUACCUCUACGGGAAGCGGCGCGGCGGCGGCGACGGUGGCUCCCGCCGGCAGAAGCGCGGGCCCUCCUGCUGCAUGAGGGCCAAGGCCAUCGACGACUGA
rnacentral:rRNA from 1 species